UCCCAUUUCAUACCAUUUCAUUCGACAGACUAGGGUAUCUCAAAACCCUCUUCCCACCUCCUCCCUCUCGAGUGCCUGACCCCGAGUGCUUCUUCCUCGCCAGAGCAUCUUCUCCUUCUCUGACACCAGCGACCUAUAACGACAACUGGUGGUACUCUCCAGCCCACCUUUUCACCACCUCAUUUUUUAUUUCUCUUUUUUUCAUCAUAUUUUCAUUUUCUAGAUAUUAGAGAAACCGGCAGAAGAGUUAUAUUCUCCUUCUCGGGCACCAACAGCCUACAACAACAAUGGGCGAUAUUAGAGAAAAUGGUGGCAGAGUUUUCUUCUUCUUCAGCACCAGCGACCUACAACAGUAACCAGCAGUACUCUCCAGCCCACCUUUUCACCUCUUUUUAUUUUUUCUUUGUUUUUCUAAUAACUACAGUUGUGCUAUUUAGAGGUUGUUACAUGCACGAUUUAAGUGGAUUAUUUAUAUUUUACAUCACUUAACGGGAAAUAACACCAAUAGAUUUCUUUUUUAUCAAAACCAAUGGAUUUCUCAUUUUGAUGUUAUCACUUAACGAGAAAUUUUUGUUUUUUUUUUCAGAAACCAAAUUCUUGGUUUUCCCCACUUCAUCCAAUUUUCCCAACCAACCCUUCUUCAUCUCUUUAGAUUGCUUUGGGUACAUCACAUCUAAAUCUUGCUUUGAUAAACUUAUCAUUAUACUGACAAUUCCACAUAUUUAUCAAAAUGCUCUCUAGUUGUGGUCAUUCAAGGAUACUUAUUGAAUGUGCAUGUGUAUUUUUAAGUGUUUAUUAUUUGGUAGCAACAAUUUGUUGUUUGGUUCUGGUAUUCAUGUGAAUAUUAUUUGUAUAUUAUCUAUACUUUGGAGGCUUGUUGUUUUGUUUUUUAAGCAAUGUUGUUGGGUGUCUAUUUUCUACAUUCUUGGAUUCUGGGGUUCAUAUUUUACCCUCUUUUCUAUGCUGUAAGUUAUUUAAUAAACCACUUGUAUGCAGAUGAGUAUUUGAAAGUAUUUGAAUGUUUCUACAGUGACCAUAUCAUUUAUAAAAUAUGACCAAUUUAUUUUUUUCUGUAUUAUUUAAUCCCAUACUGGGUUAAUUUCUUAGUUCCACAUAAGAAUAAAUUGUGUUGGCAUGUGCAACAAGAAAUGGAGGCCACACCAAACUCUAUGCAAAGGUUGGUGUUUGAACUUGAUGGAGAUGAGGGUGAACCAUUCAAAUCUUCAUCUAGCAUGGGUAAAAUGGAGGGUACCAACAUUGUCAAUGCUUUUGAUGAGGUAUAAGCUUUGCCUAAUAUAAUUGAAGAACUUGAUAAACCUAAUAAUGAUUUGCCUACAUGUGAGGAAACUAAAGGCAUUGAUGCAAGUAUUGAAAAUAUGUUGAAAGAAAAAUUAAGUGUUAUUUCUAAAGAGUGCACUCCAAAGGUUAGCAUGAUAUUUGAAACAAUAGAGGAAGCAUAUGAGUUCUAUAAUAUAUAUGCUGGGAAGGUGGGGUUUAGUACUCGAAAAGAAAAUAGAGUUGUUGACAAGGGGAUAAAUCAAGUAAGAUACUGCAAGUUUUGUUACUUGAGAAGGCAAACGUAGUGCAAAUAAAUGUGGGGUCUAUGUAAAGAAGAAUAGACAAAUGAUAAGAUGUGGUUGUAUGGCAACUAUGAAGAUAAGUCAUACGAAAGAUGGUUAUCGUGCCAUUGGUUUUGAUGAGAUGCAUAAUCAAAUAGUUACAACCCCUUCCAUGUCGCAUAUGUUGAAGCCACAAAGAAGAAUCAAUGACGCACAAGGUAAUCAAGGUAUAAUGGCAAAUGAUGUAAGAAUUGCUCCAAAAGCAGUAAUGGAGUUGAUGGCCAGCGAGGCUGGUGGACAUGAAAGUAUUGGGUUUACUUCAAUGGAUUUGAUGAAUUACUUGCAUACAUACCGGACUAGAAAUAUGGAGAAGGGGGAGGCAGGUGGUGUUCUGAAAUAUUUUAAAAACAAGGUAAUCACAAGAUUCAUCAUUUGUUUAUGCAAUUCAACUUGACCAAGUUGAAUUAGUUACAUAUCUAUUUUGGGUAGAUGCUCAAAUGAUUGUAGAUUAUGCUCAUUUUGGUGAUGUGAUAUGUUUUGACACAACAUAUAGAACAAACAAAGAGAAUAGACCAUUUGUGGUAUUUGUUGGGGUGAAUAAUGUGUUUGUCAAAACUAUGGGAGGAAAAAAGCCUAAAACAAUUCUAACUGAUGUUGAUGCAUCUAUGGCAAAAGCAAUUGGUUUAGUACUACCAGAAUCACAUCACCGGUUAUGUGUAUGGCAUAUGUUCCAAAAUGCAACAAAACACCUUAGUGGUGUGUUUGAAAGAUUUAAAUCAUUUUCUAAAGAUUUUAGUAGUUGUGUGUAUGAUUGUGAAGAUGUUGAUGAUUUUGAAGAUGCAUGGGUGGGCAUGAUCAAUAAGUAUGGACUUCAGAAGAAUGAGUGGUUGCAAAAAUUAUAUAGUAAGAGGCACAAAUGGGCAUUAGCUUUUGGACGACAAUCAUUUUCUGCCGGGAUAGACACAACACAAAGAAGUGAGAGUUUGAAUGCUUUUCUCAAGAAAUAACUCAAUAUUAGGUAUGACUUGUCAAGGUUUCUUUAGCACUUUGAAGAGAGUAGUUGCUGAUAGGUGGUAUGAGGAGUUGAAAGUCGAAUUUGCAACAACACAAAGCAUGCUAAUCAUGACAACACAUGUGGGCAUACUGGAUUUUGCUUCUCGUGUGUAUACACCACCUAUCUUUUCCCUGUUUCAUAAUGAAGUAAUGCAACAAUUGACUUGCACCAUUAUAGAAGAUCGUGUGGUGUCUGAAAUGGUAAUUGAAUAUACAAAUCAUGUGUAUGUUGUGAGCCGUCGGUUCAUUGUGACAUUUGAUUCAAGAAAUAAAUCAAUUAGUUGUAAUUACUGGAACUUUGAAUUUGUUGGGGUCUUAUAUAGGCAUGCAUUGAAGAUACUUGAUUAUAGGAGGGAGCCCUUACCCUCAUCCUAUGUAUUGAACCGAUGGACCAUUGGUGCAAAAAAAUGCAAGGGUGUAGCAUCUCAUGGAUUUAAUAGGUACUCUGAUCAAGCUGCAAAAAUAACAACACAUGCAAAAGAGAUGUUUCAUCUACUCACCCAAGUGGUAAAUAAUGAUGCUUACAACAUUGUUAUGCAAGUAGGAGAAAAGCUGUUGGAAGAUGUGACAAGGUGUUUAAGGAAGUUACACUGAGAAAUCAUUUAUAGCAUCUCACGAUAUGCAAUUUGAAAAUGAAAAAAUUGGGUCUCCUUGCAUUGGUCUUGAUGGCACACAAUCAGAAAUGGAUGUUGGUAUUAACACCAAUGCAAUGAAUGUUGGUGAUAACACCAAUGCAAUGCAUAUUGGUGAUAACACCAGUGUUGAGGGUAGUUCUAUGGGGAUUGGGUUUCUGAAAUCAGCAAAGGGAUUUAAGCACAAGGUUUCCUCUGUACACUCUUCAAAAAGAUCAAAAAAUGCCUUGUAGAAAGCACUAGUCAAGCGGAGAAGAACAAAGAAAGACCAAUCUAAUGAUAAAUGCUCUUCACAGGUAUUUUUCAAUUUACUUCAGUUUUUAUUGUUCAAACAUUUAAUUGAUUCUUCUAUGAUUCAGACUUGUAGAGAUAGGGGCACUGUGAAUCCUAUAACCAAUAAAGUGAUAAAUUUUGGUAAAUAUUUGUUGCACUUGAAACUUUAACAAAAUCCUGAAAAAUUCAGGGUCAAGGUUCUGCGGACAAUAUUCAAACUACUACAGAUGGAAGUGAUCCACAAAGAACCAUUCCUUACCUUCUUCUUGUUUUGGCUAUGUCUAUGAACUCCAUCCAACUUAGGAAAAAAAUGAAAGAAGUAGAGAGGGAAGGUAGUGUAGUGGUUGGAUAGUAUUGUAAACUGACAAAUUAUAUCUUGAACACUUCAAUCAUUUCUGCAUCAUAUCCUUGAUUUUCUAUAUUUUAGGAAAAAUGUAAAGAUUGUCACCAUUAUUCCAUCAUUUCUGGGUUUGAUUUUAAUCUAUGAGAGAUUAUUUGGCGUUU